rnacentral:rRNA from 1 species
UACGAAGGUGGCAAGCGUUACUCGGAAUUACUAGGCGUAAAGGGCAGGUAGGUGGUCUGAUAAGUCUGUUGUGAAAGCUCCCGGCUUAACUGGGAGAGGUCAACAGAAACUAUCAGGCUUGAGUAUAGGAGAGGGUACUGGAAUUCCCGGUGUAGCGGUGAAAUGCGCAGAUAUCAGGAGGAACACCAGCGGCGAAGGCGGCGCUCUGGGCCGGAACUGACGCUGAGGAGCGAAAGCGUGGGUAGCAAACAGG